rnacentral:rRNA from 1 species
AGUGAACGCUGGCGGUAGGCCUAGCACAUGCAAGUCGAACGGCAGCACAGUAAGAGCUUGCUCUUACGGGUGGCGAGUGGCGGACGGGUGAGGAAUACAUCGGAAUCUACUUUUUCGUGGGGGAUAACGUAGGGAAACUUACGCUAAUACCGCAUACGACCUACGGGUGAAAGCAGGGGAUCUUCGGACCUUGCGCGAUUGAAUGAGCCGAUGUCGGAUUAGCUAGUUGGCGGGGUAAAGGCCCACCAAGGCGACGAUCCGUAGCUGGUCUGAGAGGAUGAUCAGCCACACUGGAACUGAGACACGGUCCAGACUCCUACGGGAGGCAGCAGUGGGGAAUAUUGGACAAUGGGCGCAAGCCUGAUCCAGCCAUACCGCGUGGGUGAAGAAGGCCUUCGGGUUGAAAAGCCCUUUUGUUGGGAAAGAAAAGCAGCAGGUUAAUACCCCGCUGUUCUGACGGUACCCAAAGAAUAAGCACCGGCUAACUUCGUG